UACGGAGGGUGCAAGCGUUAUCCGGAUUCACUGGGUUUAAAGGGUGCGUAGGUGGGCAGGUAAGUCAGUGGUGAAAUCUCUGGGCUUAACCCAGAAACUGCCGUUGAUACUAUCUGUCUUGAAUAUAGUGGAGGUGAGCGGAAUAUGUCAUGUAGCGGUGAAAUGCUUAGAGAUGACAUAGAACACCCAUUGCGAAGGCAGCUCGCUAGACUAUUAUUGACACUGAGGCACGAAAGCGUGGGGAUCAAACAGG
rnacentral:rRNA from 1 species